rnacentral:miRNA from 1 species
UGUAGUCUGGCAGAAACGUCG